rnacentral:rRNA from 1 species
CCUACGGGCGGCAGCAGUGAGGAAUAUUGGUCAAUGGGCGCUAGCCUGAACCAGCCAAGUAGCGUGAAGGAUGACUGCCCUAUGGGUUGUAAACUUCUUUUAUAUGGGAAUAAAGUGCAGUAUGUAUACUGCUUUGCAUGUACCUUAUGAAUAAGGAUCGGCGAACUCCGUGCCAGCAGCCGCGGUAAUACGGAGGAUCCGAGCGUUAUCCGGAUUUAUUGGGUUUAAAGGGAGCGUAGGCGGGUUGUUAAGUCAGUUGUGAAAGUUUGCGGCUCAACCGUAAAAUUGCAGUUGAUACUGGCAGCCUUGAGUACAGUAGAGGUAGGCGGAAUUCGUGGUGUAGCGGUGAAAUGCUUAGAUAUCACGAAGAACUCCGAUUGCGAAGGCAGCCUGCUGGACUGUAACUGACGCUGAUGCUCGAAAGUGUGGGUAUCAAACAGGAUUAGAUACCCCAGUAGUC